GCGCCAGGAACACCAAAGUUCUUGGAGGGGGUAUCCGUGCCGAGAGUUCUUCAAAUGCCAUACAGGCGGCUUUCCUGGCAAGCUCAAGGUCUCAUGGCGCGGCAAACCUGAUGAGACUUGGUCGUGAGCCUGUGACAUCGCAUCCAAGGUACAUCUCAUCGGCUGCAGCCUGCAUGGUUUGAGAUAGAACUCUCGGACUCGGAGACCAGUCGACCACGGUGCUCACAAUAGAGCAUUCUGCGAGCUGUUCUGAUCUACUUGCCCCGGAGGUGUACUAGACCUCACCCAUCAUCUCCACCGAUCCUCGCGCGCAUGUCUGGAUGUGAGUGCAGGUUGGCCGGGGUGACUGCACCGUAGUAGUGGACAACAGAUCUGCCAUACCUUUGCCACAAUCAUAUCUGUAAUGUGACAUGUGGGUGGCCCUUGUCUUGCAAAUUCCUUUGU
rnacentral:lncRNA from 1 species